AUUAUCACUAAUCAAGCCUGGCUUGCUGUUGGACUUCUUGUCGUUAAAAGACAGGUCCCAAAGAUAAUGACGGUGUUAUUAGAACCCUAGAUGCAACGAGCUUUAACCAGCACGCAUGAUAGUGGCCUUUUAACCCGGUCUUUUUAACCAAUUUUUUAAAGGUUGACCUCGGAUCAGGUAGGAAUACCCGCUGAACUUAA
rnacentral:misc_RNA from 1 species